UUGCGCGCUCAGUUUCCGACUGGCUGAAGAACGAAAUCGCAAGCAAUGAAACAUUGCUGUAUAUUCCUGAGUCUGUAUCGCAAGAGGAGACAGACCAACCUACAAAAGAAGUGUGAAGGACAACAAAUCUAAAUUACAAGAAACAAAGAUAAGUGAACAAGUUCCAAAUCAAAAGAAAUAUUUGCUGAACUUAAUGAAAGAUGCCAAGGAAUUUCGUCGUGUUUGGAAAAAAUGGUUGGGACGUUUUGCAGUGAGAUAAUGCAAAGAAGAAGUAGUAUCAUAGCUUCUAAAGAAGGUUAUAACGCCUACAGUUUAUAAGCUUGUAACGCCAGUCUUGUGAACCUGUGCCAAAGAGAGUGUGCUACUCUUCAAAAUGUCCUCCAACGUGUUCUUCAAAAGUGAUGUUGAAAGCCUGUUCGACUUUCGUUACUAUGCUUGGCGCUUUAAAUCUUUAAUUUAUUAUUGUGUUAUGUUGUUUGUUGCUGUACAUUUUUUAUUUUAGAAAAAUAU